AGAGUUUGAUCAUGGCUCAGAUUGAACGCUGGCGGCAUGCUUAACACAUGCAGUCGAACGGCAGAGCGGGUUUAUGCUCCCUGGCGGCGAGUGGCGGACAGGUGAGUAAUACGUAGGAAUCUACCUUAUAGGGGGGACAACCCGGGGAAACUCGGGCUAAUACCAUGAUCUCUAUGGAGUAAAGCGGGGAUCUUCCUGACCUCAUAUAAGAUAGGCCUAUGUCGGAUUAGCUUGUUGGUGGUGGUACACUGCAAGGCGACGAUCCGUAGCUGGUCUGAGAGGAUGAUCAGCCACACUGGGACUGAGACACGGCCCAGACUCCUACGGGAGGGGCAACAGUGGGAAUCUUGGACAAUGGGGAAACCCUGAUCCAGCAAUGCCGCGUGUGUGAAGAAGGCCCUCGGGUUGUAAACACUUUCAGUAGGGAAGAAAUUCUCAAGAGUAAUAUACUUGAGCGUUGACGUUACCUACAGAAGAAGCACUGGCUAACUCUGUGCCAGCAGCCAUGAUAAUACAGAGAGUGCGGGCGUUAAUCGGAAUCACUGGGUGUAAAAGGCGCGUAGGUGGAUAUUUAAGUCGGAUGUGAGAAGCCUAGGCUUAACCUAGGAACUGCACUCGAUACUGGAUAUCUCGAGUAUGGUAGAGGAAGUGGAAUUUUCAGUGUAGGUGAAAUGCGUAGAUAUCGGAAGAACACCAGUGGCGAGAGCCUUCCUGGACCAAUACUGACACUGAGGUGCGAAAGCGUGGGGAGCAAACAGGAUUAGAGACCCUGGUAGUCCACGCCAAAUCCCAACGAUGAGAACUAGCUGUUGGAAGUACUUUCUAGUAGCGAAGCUAACGCGUUAAGUUCUCCGCCUGGGAAUUACUGACCGCAGGUUACAAAACUCAAAGAAAUUGACGGGGCCCCGCACAAGCGGUGGAGCAUGUGGUUUAAUUCGAUGCAACGCGAAAAACCUUACCUACCCUUGACAUCCUCAGAACUUGUCAGAAAUGACUUGGUGCCUUCAGGAACUGAGUGACAGGUGCUGCAUAGCUGUCGUCAGCUCAUCGUGAGAUGUUGAGUUAAGUCCCACGUAACGAGCACGCAACCCUCGUCCUUAGUUACCAGCGGUCAGUCAGGGAACUCUAAGGAGACUGCCGGUGAUAAACCGGAGGAAGGUGGGGAUGAUGUCAAGUCAUCAUGGCCCUUACGAGUAGGGCUACACACGUGCUACAAUGGGCAGUACAAAGGGUUGCCAAACCAUAAGGUGGAGCAAUCCCAAAAAGCUGUCUUAGUCCAGUUGAAGUCUGCAACUCGACUUCAUGAAGCUGGAAUCGCUAGUAAUCGCGAAUCAGGAUGUCGCGGUGAAUACGUUCUCGGGCCUUGUACACACCGCCCGUCACACCAUGGAGUGAAUUGUACCAGAAGCAGGUAGGUAACCUUCCAGUGGAGGCCGCUCACUACGGUGUGGUUCAUGACU
rnacentral:rRNA from 1 species